rnacentral:rRNA from 2 species
GUUUGGCAGCAAACUAAAUUCUUCCGGGGGAAGGUGCUUAUUAAAGAGAUGAUCCGCUUACUAUUUUACUAUACCUAAUGUUAGUGUAUAUCCGUUUGUAUAUUCACGCUUAGAGGUAAUAAGUGGGUAAAUAUUAAGUAAUUUAAGGCAGGUCUAUAUGCUGCUUAUGGUAUAGGUUAUUGUGCGUUACAAUUAAAAGUUUAAAUACUUAAUAGUAUUUUUAUUUUGGGACUCGGAAGUAGGAGUGUAAUAGUAUGUCACUUCGAAGGUUGAAAUAGUUUGGGUACACAUCGCCCGACAAUCUCGAUGUGUAAUUGAGUUAA